AGGAGGGGCUCGAUGCAGCGCCUUCUGCGUGGAGCGGUUAGGCCGGCUAAGGGGACCGGUCAGACCGGUCGCCCUUGAACACCAGCGACGACCGACGAACGCUGACCCGGGAGGGACCCCGUCAGGGCAAGCACACGCAGGGUUGUUUUAGGAUCGGCAGACCACCUAGAAUGCCUUCAAAUGUCGCGGAGACGAAGGAAGAACAACAGAUAGAGGUUGAAAAGCUAGAGUUUAGAGGAAAAGAUAAAGACGAUAAAAAGUAGAAGUUGUCAAUAUUUUUAAGAUGACAGGCCUACUCAGCGAGCUGACAGCACCAACAUGACCAAUGGAGGUGAUGCUAUUCCACGCCAUGAUGGAUGCACCAAUAUGGCAAUGAAGGUGAUGUUUUUUUACUAUUUGUCUGUUAGAUUUGAUCCACAAAUUGAAUGCAUUCGUACUGCCUGCCAUUUUUAGAUGGAUCUACCCAGAAUGAUGACAACACCAUUGUUGGUGAUGGAGCUAAUUGCAUUACCCAUCUAGAUAGACACAACUAGAUGGCCACCGAAGGUGAGAGUUUGUUCAUUUAUUUGCCAUAUAGCAUAUUUCCUUGUUAGUUUGUUUGCUAAUUGCUACUGGUUUGUUUGAUUGAAUGACCAUCUUGGAUCAACUUCAACUUACUAAUUGCAACUUCUAUGUGCAUUUACAUCACGGAGAAGAGGCAUGGGACCGAGGAGUUAAUAUGGGACAUGGUCUCCAGAGGUUGACCUGAGCUCAUGGUGCCAAACUGCCAGUUGUCAUAACUGAAUGGAAUAUAAGGCCCGUGGAACCUAAGAUUGCUGCAAUGUAUGCAACUGAAUGCAACAUUAUAGUCAAGAAUCAUAUUCUUGUGUUCAAGCACGGGAAGGAAUACAAGAAGCAUCCUGCGCUGAUUGAACUGUGUUUGGAAAGACUUCGUGAGGCAAGUAAAAAGAACAGAGAGGACCAAGCUGAUAUAAAGUUUCACCAAACCACUGGCUCCGCUAGCUACCCAGUUUAUGUAGAAAAAAAUUGGGUGAUGAGUACAAGGAUAAAGAACUGAUGCCUUUGAUUUGUUCAAGAUGUGCCACUACAACAACAAAAAGAAAGGAUACACGCCUCCUGUACAGUCUGCUAUUACUGAAAUGGAAAACCAGCUGGCUGCACCAACAGAAGAUGGACAACCCAAGUCUGCAACCCAAGUUGUACAUGUUGUGCUUCAUCAGAACACAAAAACCAAUCACUUCCUUAUGAAUGUGGGCAUCCAGAUUGCAAAGCGUAGGACUACACUACAAUAUGUUCAAGCAGAAUUGGAGGUGGAGAAAAGAACAAAUUCUGAGCUUCGAUUGAUAGUCAACAACCAGCAUGAAGAAAUGGAUGGUUUGUCAAAGCAAGUCCAGGAAACAGAACAAACAAGAAUCAAAGACCAAGAGGAGAAUCAGAAGAAGCUAGCUGAGUUGUUCUGCCACGCCAAAAUGGACAAAGCUGAGCAUAUGGUGGUCUAGUAGCUUUUGGGUGAACUUCAUCUUUUGCAGGAACCAAACUUUGCUGCUGCAGCUUCAUAUUUUGUUGGAUUGUUACCUUUCGGUCCAACUUCAACCAAACUUUGCUGCUGCUGGUUCAUAUUCUUGAUGAAACCUAUCUUUUGUUGUUUCUGGUCAAUUGUGUUGUCUUGGAAUGUUACUAGUUCUGACUGAUAGAUGGGAAAACUGUAUGUCAUGCAAACCUUAUUCAUGUGAAUUUGGGCUGGAAUCGUUAUUGUGAAUUCUGGAUUGGAAAUCUUGUUAAUUGAUAAUUAAUCUUGGGCUGAAAUCUUAUUAGCUAAUAA